GAUUGGAUGGAUCUAUGGUUCUGUUACUGAAGAUAUCUUGACUGGGUUUAAGAUGCAUGCUCGUGGUUGGAUUUCCAUCUAUUGCAUGCCACCUCGCCCAGCAUUUAAGGGUUCUGCUCCCAUCAAUCUUUCUGACCGUCUCAAUCAGGUGCUUCGGUGGGCCUUGGGUUCAAUUGAGAUCUUCCUGAGCAGGCAUUGUCCCCUGUGGUAUGGCUACAAGGGGAAGUUGAGGUCUCUGCAGAGACUUGCUUAUAUUAACACCAUUGUCUACCCCCUUACCUCAAUCCCAUUGAUUGCUUACUGUGUGCUUCCUGCAUUUUGUCUCAUCACAAAUAAAUUUAUUAUUCCUGAGGUAAGUAGAUUCUUCUAUCUCAUUUUUCUGAUAAACUUAUAAUUCAUAACGUGUUCUAAUUGUUGAUAUAGAAUUCUAUAUCUUGGAAUCCUGAUGCCAUUAACAUUUGGUUAAUUUUGCAACUAUUUACUUUCAAUUAAAUUAAUAACUGAGAAGCAGAAUUUGGAAGGUUUGGUAAUUAUAUGUUUGAAUUUCAUUCUUUUCACCUUAGGUGUCAAUUGAUUUUUUUCUGGACAGGGUGGAUGAUGCUCGACAGCCUUUGAGUCGUGUGGUGCCUCUUCCUUCAUCCCAGAUCACCCCUUACCGUGUUGUUAUCAUACUCCGGCUGAUUAUUCUUUGCUUCUUCUUACAAUACCGUGUAACUCACCCUGUGAAAGAUGCAUACCCACUGUGGUUGACAUCAGUUAUUUGUGAGAUUUGGUUUGCCUUAUCCUGGCUCUUGGAUCAGUUUCCAAAAUGGUAUCCCGUUAAUCGCGAGACUUAUCUUGACAGGCUUGCUUUAAGGUCUGGAUUGCUCAUUUUAUCCAUGUUUUGCUGGGCUUUGCAUCUUGGUUUUACUAUGUUGUGGCAUUUCUCUUUCACUAAUCUUAGUUUGUCUUGUUUAGAUAUGAUCGUGAAGGAGAACCAUCACAGUUGGCUCCUGUUGAUGUUUUUGUUAGUACAGUGGAUCCUCUCAAAGAGCCUCCUCUUGUAACUGCAAACACAGUUUUGUCUAUACUUUCUGUUGAUUACCCUGUCGACAAGGUGUCCUGCUAUGUGUCAGAUGAUGGUUCAGCUAUGUUGACCUUUGAAUCCCUGUCAGAAACAGCUGAGUUUGCAAAGAAGUGGGUGCCCUUUUGCAAGAAGCACAAUAUUGAGCCAAGAGCACCUGAGUUUUAUUUUGCCCAGAAGAUUGAUUACUUGAAGGACAAGAUUCAACCUUCUUUUGUGAAGGAACGACGGACAAUGAAGGUUGUCCUUGAAGCAUUUAAUCUUCAUUUCUAAUUUAAAACUUAUAUGGUUAUGUAAAUAUAAAAAACUAAGCAUAGACAAUUUUGCUCAAUAGAGAGAAUAUGAAGAAUUCAAAGUACGGAUCAAUGCCCUUGUAGCCAAAGCACAGAAGAUGCCAGAAGAAGGAUGGACAAUGCAGGAUGGAACUGCUUGGCCAGGAAAUAAUCCUCGGGAUCAUCCUGGAAUGAUUCAGGUGUUACCAUUUUCUCCAGAUAGCACAUAUAAUCUAUGCCCUUUGCUAUACUUGAAGUCAUUGUAAUACUUUGUUGUAUGCAGGUGUUUUUAGGCCAUAGUGGAGGGCUUGAUACAGAUGGAAAUGAGCUACCUAGACUUGUUUACGUUUCUCGUGAGAAGCGACCGGGCUUCCAACAUCACAAGAAGGCCGGAGCUAUGAAUGCCUUGGUUUGUCCUGAUGAAGCUUCUCAUUUUAUUUAUUUGUAGUUUUACAUGGUGUAUACUUUUUUAUAGUGCAUUGCUUUGCCCUUAUUGAAUUUAUGGCCUUCAUAUAGUGGUAGGUUUUGUUUAUCUGCUUGUGUCAAAAUAUUAUAUGUAUAUAUAUAUAUAUAAAUGGAAAAUAGCGUACAAAUUGAUACCAUGAUUCAGCUCUGCCCAACUAUGAGUAACAUUUUCUAAAACAGGUUGAGGAUGUAUGUCAAUCACUUUGCUAGUUCUGCUUCUGCAUGCAGAUUUUGUUUUCGUGUUUCUAUGUGAAAUUGUUGCUUUUCCUUCCUGCAAACCAAUGAGGCACUUACUGUUGCAUAUGAUGGUUGUACAUGUGUUUUUAACCUGAAAGUUAUGUUCUGAGCAUAUCUAACAGUGGUUUUCCUUCUGUGAUGUAGAUUCGAGUAUCUGCUGUCUUGACCAAUGGUGCUUAUCUUUUGAACGUCGAUUGUGAUCACUAUUUCAAUAAUAGCAAAGCUGUUAAAGAAGCCAUGUGUUUCAUGAUGGAUCCUGCUUUUGGAAAGAAGACAUGCUACGUACAAUUCCCUCAGAGGUUCGAUGGCAUUGACUUGCACGAUCGAUAUGCCAAUCGCAAUAUUGUGUUCUUCGAUGUAGGUGUCACUUUAUUUUUCAUUUGGUUGCAACAGAGAAAUUCCUUCCUUUUAGUCUUCACUGCUUUGGCUAAAUUUCAUUUCGUUUUUGUACCUGUCAGAUCAACUUGAAAGGUCUUGAUGGUAUUCAGGGCCCAGUCUAUGUGGGAACUGGUUGCUGUUUCAAUAGGCAGGCUUUGUAUGGUUAUGAUCCUGUUUUGACUGAGGAAGAUUUGGAGCCUAACAUUAUUGUUAAGAGUUGUUGUGGUUCUAGAAAGAAGGGAAGGGGUGGCAAGAAGUACAAUGACAAGAAGAGGGGAGUUAAAAGAACUGAAUCAACCAUUCCAAUCUUUAAUAUGGAAGACAUAGAGGAGGGUGUUGAAGGUAUGGUAUCAUGAUAAUCUUUAUCUUAACUCCUAUUUACAGUGGCUAUGCAUGUAGAAUUUCAUAAGUUGAAUUUGUUGCAAUUCCAUUUUACUCCCUAUCUCACUGAUCAAAUUCAUUAGUAAUUUACCCUAGUUUGCCAUAGUUUUUAUGCCAGAUACCUUUACAUAAUUGUCUGAAAGUUGAGACGAUGAUGUCAUAUCAUUAUGAUAUUUAAUGCCUUUCUUGUACAGGGUAUGAUGAAGAAAGGUCACUUCUUAUGUCUCAAAAGCGUUUAGAGAAGCGUUUCGGUCAGUCUCCAGUUUUUAUUGCUGCUACCUUUAUGGAACAGGGUGGCAUUCCACCUUCAACCAAUCCUGCAACUCUUCUUAAGGAAGCAAUCCAUGUUAUCAGCUGUGGCUAUGAAGACAAGACAGAAUGGGGAAAAGAGGUUAGCAUGUCUACUUAUCAUCGUGCUUUUGAUUCUGAGAUUAACGAGUAGAUUGUUUUAGUUUAUUGAUUACACAUUUUCUGACUUCACCAGAUUGGAUGGAUCUAUGGUUCUGUUACUGAAGAUAUCUUGACUGGGUUUAAGAUGCAUGCUCGUGGUUGGAUUUCCAUCUAUUGCAUGCCACCUCGCCCAGCAUUUAAGGGUUCUGCUCCCAUCAAUCUUUCUGACCGUCUCAAUCAGGUGCUUCGGUGGGCCUUGGGUUCAAUUGAGAUAUUCCUGAGCAGACAUUGCCCCUUGUGGUAUGGCUACCAUGGGAAGUUGAGAUCUCUGCAGAGACUUGCUUAUAUUAACACCAUUAUCUACCCCCUUACCUCAAUCCCAUUGAUUGCUUACUGUAUUCUUCCUGCAUUUUGUCUUGUCACAAAUAAGUUCAUUAUUCCCGAGGCAAGUAUUUUUCCUCUAUCUCAUUUUUCUGAUAAGCUUUUAUCAUUUAUGUUGUGUUCCAGCUGAUAACAUUAACAUUUGGUUAAUUUUAUGC
rnacentral:lncRNA from 1 species